rnacentral:tRNA from 2 species
CGACACGUAGCUCAGCAGGCAGAGCCACGGCGCAGGUUCGAAUCCUGCCGUGUCGACCA